rnacentral:lncRNA from 1 species
GGGAAGAGGAGCCCCCUGGUGGCCCUGCACCACCACUGCAGAAGGGUUUUAGAAAGAGUACAAAGGGAAGUUUCUUACAUAUAAACAAAUGCCCUGAAAACCUUUUGGCAAGAAACCUUGUAAAGUGCUUCUGUAAUCUCAAGACUGUACAUCCCCUAGCUUAUAAACUCCAGGACCACAGGUUCUUGCUAAAUCUACAGCCUGCUGAGAAAAGUGCUAUUUAGGCAAGAUGCCAAAGGGACUUGGAAACAAUCCACCCCUAGGCUGAUUUUUCUCUAAAUGGGUUUCCUGGACCACUUGUAUCAAAUACGAUCUGGUUUUAUCAUACUAUGCUUAAUAUGAAGAUGAUUAGACUCUGCCCCAGACCAAUGAAACUAAAAUAAUUAGGAAGAGGGACCUAGGAAGCUAUUUAACAAGGAAACUUUGUAUUUCUUAAGCAUAGUAAAAUUUGAGAAACAUUCAUGCCAAUCUAGUUUUUAUAUUUUUGGAUCUAACUGAAGCAUCAGAAGGAUAUAUACUUAGCUACAUCUUUUGCCUACAGGUGCCUUUACUGAGGUUUCAUCUUACAUCCUAGGAUUUUAUAAACAUCACAGACAGAUAUAUGCAUGGCACUAUUGUAUCUGUCUAUUACAAUAUCAUAGUUCAUGUUGAUGUCUGUAUCACUCAGUCUCCCAUAUUAUGAGCCUAUUAAGGAUUUUAAUUUAGAAAGCAGUGCCUAGAAAUAUAGCGUUUACCUUGCUGGUCUAGUAUGAGACCCAGUUACACAUCACAAUAAGAAUUAUUGCUAGUCUUAUUUUUCCUUUGUGCCCUAAAUGCCAUAAGCUUAUAAGUUCAUUUAAAAUUUAUCUAUUUAUUUUGUUUUUUAGGUCCGCACCCACAGCAUAUGAAAGUUCCCAGGGUAGGGGUCAAAUUGGAGCUACAGCUGCCGGCCUAUGCCACAGCCAUAGCAACACGAGAUCCAAGCCGCAUCUGUGAUCUACACCACAACUCAUGGAAAUUCUGGAUCCCUGACCUGAGCAAGGCCAGGGAUCAAACCCACAUCCUCAUGGAUGCUAGCCAGAUUUGUUUCCGCUUCACCACAAUGGGAACUCCCUAAUUUAAAGUUUAAUCACAUAUAAUUAAAAGCAGUCUCUUUGGUGAGUGGUGCUGGCAGAACUGGAGAGCUGAAUGUAAAUCAGUGAAACUAGAACACACCCUCACACCAUUAACAAAAAUAAACUCAAAAUGGCCUAAAGACUUAAACAUAAGAUAAAACAUUAUAAAACUCCUAGAAGAGAACAUAGGCAAAACAUUCUCUGACAUGAACUGUACAAAUGUUUUAACUUCAGUCUCCCAAAGCUAUAGAAAUAAAAACAAAAAUAAACCAAUGGGAUUUAAUCAAACUGAAAAGCUUUUGCACAGCAAAGGAAACCAUAUUAAAAAAGAAAAAGAAAACCUAAGAAAUUGGAGAAAAUAGUUUCAGAUGGUGCAACUGACAAGGGGUUAAUCUCUAAAAUAUAUAAACAACUCAACAGCAAAAAAACAAAUAACCCAAUUGUAAAAUGGGCAGAAGAUCUGCAUAGACAUUUCUCCAAAGAAGACAUGGAUGGCCAACAGACACAUGAAAAAAUGCUCAACAUCACUAAUUAUUAAAGAAAUCCAAGUCAAAACUGCAAUGAGGUACCACUUCACACCAGUCCGAAUGGCCAUCAUUGGUAAGUCUACAAAUAAGAAAUGCUGGAGAGGAUGUGGAGAAAAGGGGACCUUCCUACACUGUUGGUGGAAAUGUAAAUUGAUACAAUUACUAUGGAAAACAGUAUAGAGGUACCUCUGAAAACUAAAUAUAGAACUACCAUAUGAUCCAGCAAUCCCACUUCUGGGCAUACAUCCAGACAAAACUUUCAUUCAAAAAGAUACAUGUACUCCUAUGUUCAUUACAGCGCUAUUCACAAUAGCCAAGAAAUGGAAACAACCUAAAUGUCCAUUAACAGAUGAAUGGAUUAAGAAGAUGUGGUACAUAUACACAAUGGAAUACUACUCAGCCAUAAAAAAGAACAAAAUAAUGCCAUUUGCAGCAACGUGGAUGGAACUAGGAUUCUCAUAUUAAGUGAAAUAAGUCAGAAAGACAAAUACCAUAUGAUAUCACUUGUAUCUGGAAUCUAAUAUAAGGUUCAUUUAUGCCAAUCUACAGAAAAGAAACAAACUCAUGGACAUGGAGAUCAGACUUGAGGCUGCCACGGGGGAAGGGGAGGGAGUGGGAUGGUCUGGGAAUUUGGGGUUAGUAGAUGCAAACUAUUGCAUAUUGCAUUUGGAAUGGAUACAGCAGUGGAGGUCCUGCUGUGUAGCACAGGGAACUUUAUCUAAUCACUUGUGAUGGAACACGAUGGAGAAUGUGAGAAAAAGAAUGUGUGUGUGUGUGUGUGUGUGUAUGUAUGUUACUGGGUCACUUUAAAGCAGAAAUUGACAGAACAUUGUAAAUCAACUGUAAUAAAGGACAGUCUCGUCUUUAUUGAUUCUGAAAUUUCACUUAUUAAAAAUGUCAUUGUCUUUGCUUUUGUAAUAAGCUAUUCAAAUUUAAAUCUUUGACAAGUCAUUUUGUAAGUAACUUAGGCCAGAAAGUUCAGUCAUUUCCUUUUUAUAUUUGACAACAGUUAUUCUUGUUUAUUAGAGUAAUAUAGGUUAAUUAUACAAAAUUUUAUAAAGCUUGGUAAAGUAUAAAGAAUUGGUUUAUAAUCUUAUGAUUCAAAUAGCCACAGUUAAUAUUUUCUUGCAUUUCUUCUUUUUCUAUACAUAUAGAAUUUCUUUACAAAAUUGGAGUCAUACUAUACACUGUGAAUCCAGAUUUUUUUUUUACUUAACAUGAUUAUGUUUAUUAAAAGCAUUUAACCAUGUUAUUAAACAUUUUUGGUCAACAUGAGUUUUAAAAUUUAUCCCAUUUCUAGCUAUAUUCAUUUAUCCCAUUUCUUGAUGUAUUCAUUUCUAGAUAUAUAAUUGUGAAUAUACUUUCCUCUGGUUCUUUCCAGUUAUUUUCUGCCAUACCAAUAUUGUGAUAAGCAUCUUUUACACAUAUUUUAUGCUCUCCUGUGGUUAUCUUGGGAUAAACUUGUAGAGGUAAAAUUACUAGAUAGGGUAGUAAUUAAAGGGUAGGGACCUUUAAUUCUUGUGUGGUGUUUUAUUAAGACACUUUCUAGGAGUGUUUAAAAAACUAUCCAGCUCCCCAAACUCCACAGCAGUAAAACCUAUCUCUUUCUACACUACAGAUCCCCCUUUUUUUUUCCAUGCCCAGUUUCAAGUUGUCUUUCACCUUGGCUUUGGGGAGAACCUCACUUCCCCCAGGUCUUGUCCCCUUCCUCUCCCCUUCCCCCUCUUUUGUUCCUGGUCCUCUAUAUUCUCUUUUUUCUUUUUAAUUGGGAAUUUUCUUUUUAGUAUUUUUUGCUUUCCCUUUGCUUAUAUCGCUUUUUCCUCUUCUUUCAUCAGUAAAUAGUUGUUCAUUUCACAGGGCAGGACUUUACAGAAGUGGUUAGUGUAGUGAGCAACACUCUUUAUCUCUUGCUAAAAAUGCCCACACAUUUACCAUUUGUAGAUGAGGAGCUUGAGUUAUCCCAUGUUCCUAAGGAGGAAAUAAGCCCACAUUUGGGACAUGUGCCCAACAAAGCUUAGAUAACUGCUUUAGUCAUGGAUCUAACUUUCUCUUUUACUUAAAAACAUCAAAGGUCUUAUAUUUUAUAACCAACUACAUGAAGUCUGCAUUUCCUGCCUGUCUGGUAAUCAAGACCAUCAAGAGCUGUCCACAGCCUGGUUUCCAGCAUCAUCGGUCAUUAUUUCUGCCUCCUGAACAUACAAUCCUCUGUUCAGCACCCUAUAGUUCAGCUGAAAAUCCUCCAAUUUAACUUUGGGAUUUUUUUAGGAUGUGGAUAUUCUGAUUAACAUUUAUAAGCCAGGACUGGAGAACCUCCCAGCUACUCUGAAGUUUGGGAGGAGUAAUCUCCAUGGAAUACAAAAAUCCUGCUAAUAUGUUAGUCAAGUGGCCUUUGGCCCAAGGCUAGGGAAUUUAUCCUAAAGGCCUUAGAAUGGGAGAUUGUAAAUUAAAGAGUUAAAGUUACUCCCUGGAAACCUAAUUAGCAGCUGAAAAGGACAGUGGGUAAAGAAAGUUCCCUAUCUGAGAAGGACUUUGAAGCACAAGUACAGGACAGCUGAAGGAAAUAUAGCAGUUGCUAAUAGCAACCAUCAGGUGACACAGUAGAACACAAAAUGCAGCAAGACAGGACAAAGAUGUACAAGAAAACUGCAGGGAAUAGUGCAAUUGCUAACUCCAACUACAGGGUAGCACAAAAAAAAAAUGCAAAACUCAGCAGGACAGGGCAAAAUAAGUACAAGACAGCUUCAAGGAAUAUAGCAGUUGCCAACAGCAACCACAGGUGGCACAGUAGAAUGCAAAACCCUCAGCUAGACAGGGCAAGCAAGUACAAGACUGUUAGAUGGAAUAUAGCAGUUGCUAAGAGCAACCACCAGAUGGCACAGCAGAAUGCAAAUUGUCAGCCACACAGGGCAAGCAAGUACAAUACUGUUGAACGAAAUAUAGGAAUUGCUAACAGGAACCAUCAGGUGGUGCAAUAGAAUGCAAAACAUCAGUAUAGACAAAGAUGUACAAGACAGCUGCAGGGAAGAUAGUAAUUUCCCUACCAGGUGGCAUAGCAAAAUGCAAAACUGUAUAGAACAAGAGCAAAAAAGUGCAAAACAGGAGUUCCCGUCGUGGCUCAGUGGUUAACGAAUCCGACUAGGAACCAUGAGGUUGCGGGUUCAAUCCCUGCCCUUGCUCAGUGGGUUAAGGAUCCAGCAUUGCCGUGAGCUGUGGUGUAGGCUGCAGAUGCGGCUGGGAUCCCAUGUAGGCUGGUGGCCACAACUCCAGUUCAACCCUUAGCCUGGGAACCUCUGUAUGCCGUGGGAGCAGCCCAAGAAAUGGCAAAAAGACCAAAAAAAAAAAAAAAAAAAA